rnacentral:lncRNA from 1 species
GAAAGAAAUUCAAAUCGGCUUGUGAUUCAGUGCGUCUUUGUUGAAUUUUCAAAAAUGGAAAUAAAUCUGAUAAAAAUUUUGUGCUUCCAAAGCGGUUCAGAUUAACAAUCAUGUUUUAGCAACAAGGAGAUGAAUCUCUGGGAAAAUAUCAAAUUAUUUUACUCUAGACUACAUCAUACUUAUGACAAAUCUGUUGGGAAAGAACAUAGUUUUUUGAGUUUUUAACAUUGCCGAUAUCGAUUAAACUGCACACGAUGCGAAUUUAAAUUUUUAAUGUCUUUUCUUCGACACUCCAUGCCAAAAAAUAAAUAAAAAAAGGUAUACAAAUUUGAAGAGCUGAUAUAUACAAAAGAAUAAUAUUUUACUUCACCAGAUGUGCAUUUUGAUAUUUAAUAUAUCUUCAGUUAUUCUCAAGGUUAAAGUAUUUGAAAAUCCUAAGCCGAAUAUAAUCUAUCAAAAUUUGUUGAUCGUUCAUAAAGGUUUUUGAUAAGUCAUAACUGGUCGUAAUAAAAUUUGUUGGUAAGAACAACGUGCGUUAAGUUUGUCAUUAUUUUUUUAAAAGUGUUUUUAUUUCAACCCUUAUUAUUACAAAAAGUGCAUGUAAAUCAAUGUUAAUGAAACUAAGCAGGACUGAAUGUUUUUUAAGAUACAUAUGUUAGUAAAAUGACAUGCAGAGAAGACACAUACUAUAGUAUGUCUUUAAACCGACCAAUGAAGAACAUUUUUUUUAAUUAAACAAUACAUGUACAAGUCACUAAACACAGAAUUUUGAAUGAUGUGUAACAGUGUUUGUGUUAUUAUUUAAAACAUAACAUAUGUGUACGAGAGACGACAAUGCGAUUAAUUAUCACGGGUAUCUUUUUGUGACGUUAAGUAUUAUAGAAAAAAAAGCAUCAGCUUAAUUUUUGGGUAUUGUCCAACAAACAAAGUUUUCGUAAUAACUAUAAGCCAUUUAGUAAUGUUAUUGUCAGCUCUGUCGAUUUAUAGCAUUCUCUUUUACGUAAUAAUGAAAUAAUUGUUAUAAAUAUGAUCAAAUAUUUAUCUGGUUCUAUUAUGAAAAAUUACUUCCUAACAAUGUCUCGCAAAAAUGUCACGGAUUCUUCUCAAUUUAACAACAAGGCAACAUACACUUUAUUAUUAAUUAACUAAAACACUCUUUUUUCUGUGAUCUACACUGUAUGUAAAACAGGUAAUACAUUUGUACAAGCAAAUUAGAAAAGCAGUAAGGGAUUUCCUAACGUAGUGGAAAGACCGUAAAGCCCAAGUCACACUGUCACGUUUCAAGAGCUACGUUUUACUACGUUUUGAAAGCGUAGCGAAACGGGAAUAUACGUAACGAAGCGUAUCGAAACGUAGUGAUCCUUUGUUCAAGACUAGACCGGUCCCGUAUGUUUUGAAAAUUCAACAACAAACGUAGCGAAAAUUGAAACGAAGUAGAAACCUAGUAAAUACGUAUCAAAACUUAGCGGAACGCAACAAAACGUGCUUACUAAGUAUCGAAACGUAUCAAUGCGUGGUGAAAACGUGGGUCCACACGUACUUAUACGUAGCAUUUUAAAACGUAGUAAAACUUGACAGUGUGACUGGGGCUUUAGUAUAGUAUAAAGGUCCAUAUAUAUAUCACAUGGGCCUACAUUAUUUACCUUUUGCUUGGGAAAAUGUGUA